GGCCCUGUGGUGAAAUUCAUGGUGAGUUGCAAACUCAUUGAUGUACGUUGAGACGUGCCGGGGUCU
rnacentral:tRNA from 1 species